GAUGAACGCUGGCGGCGUGCCUAAUACAUGCAAGUCGAGCGAACGGACGAGAAGCUUGCUUCUCUGAUGUUAGCGGCGGACGGGUGAGUAACCCGUGGAUAACCUCCUUUUAAGACGGGGAUAACUUCGGCAAACCGUAGCUAAAACCGGAUAAUAUUUUGAACCGCAUGGUUCAAAAGUGAAAGACGGUCUUGCUGUCACUUAUAGAUGGAUCCGCGCUGCAUUAGCUAGUUGGUAAGGUAACGGCUUACCAAGGCAACGAUGCAUAGCCGACCUGAGAGGGUGAUCGGCCACACUGGAACUGAGACACGGUCCAGACUCCUACGGGAGGCAGCAGUAGGGAAUCUUCCGCAAUGGGCGAAAGCCUGACGGAGCAACGCCGCGUGAGUGAUGAAGGUCUUCGGAUCGUAAAACUCUGUUAUUAGGGAAGAACAUAUGUGUAAGUAACUGUGCACAUCUUGACGGUACCUAAUCAGAAAGCCACGGCUAACUACGUG
rnacentral:rRNA from 1 species